AUGCUUAACACAUGCAAGUCGAACGGCAGCAGGCAGUUUCUUCGGAUUCUGUGCUGGCGAGUGGCGGACGGGUGCGUAACGCGUAGGAAUCUACCCUGAAGCGGGGGACAACCUGGGGAAACUCGGGCUAAUACCGCAUACCCUCUACGGAGGAAAGCUGGGGACCGGUUUACCGGCCUGGCGCUUUAGGAUGAGCCUGCGUAAGAUUAGCUUGUUGGUGGGGUAAAAGCCUACCAAGGCAACGAUCUUUAGCUGGUCUGAGAGGAUGAUCAGCCACACUGGGACUGAGACACGGCCCAGACUCCUACGGGAGGCAGCAGUGGGGAAUAUUGGACAAUGGGCGAAAGCCUGAUCCAGCAAUGCCGCGUGUGCGAUGAAGGCCUUCGGGUUGUAAAGCACUUUCAAUCGUGAAGAAAGCUUUUGGGUUAAUACCCUAGAAGUUUGACGUUAACGAUACAAGAAGCACCGGCUAACUCUGUGCCAGCAGCCGCGGUAAGACAGAGGGUGCGAGCGUUAAUCGGAAUUACUGGGCGUAAAGCGUACGUAGGCGGAAAUUUAAGUCAGAUGUGAAAGCCCUGGGCUCAACCUAGGAACUGCAUUUGAAACUGGAUUUCUAGAGUAUGGUAGAGGGAAGUGGAAUUUCCGGUGUAGCGGUGAAAUGCAUAGAUAUCGGAAGGAACACCAGUGG
rnacentral:rRNA from 1 species